rnacentral:rRNA from 1 species
CCUACGGGUGGCAGCAGUGAGGAAUAUUGGUCAAUGGACGAGAGUCUGAACCAGCCAAGUAGCGUGAAGGAUGACUGCCCUAUGGGUUGUAAACUUCUUUUAUAUGGGAAUAAAACGUUCCACGUGUGGGAUUUUGUAUGUACCAUAUGAAUAAGGAUCGGCUAACUCCGUGCCAGCACCCGAGGUAAUACGGAGGAUCCGAGCGUUAUCCGGAUUUAUUGGGUUUAAAGGGAGCGUAGGUGGAUUGUUAAGUCAGUUGUGAAAGUUUGCGGCUCAACCGUAAAAUUGCAGUUGAAACUGGCAGUCUUGAGUACAGUAGAGGUGGGCGGAAGUCGUGGUGUAGCGGUGAAAUGCUUAGAUAUCACGAAGAACUCCGAUUGCGAAGGCAGUUCACUGGACUGCAACUGACACUGAGGCUCGAAAGUGUGGGUAUCAAACAGGAUUAGAUACCCCGGUAGUC